AUUGAACGCUGGCGGCAGGCCUAACACAUGCACGUCGAACGAGUGGCGGACGGGUGAGUAAUGUCUGGGAAACUGCCUGAGGGAGGGGGAUAACUCCUGGAAAAGGUAGCUAAUACCGCAUACCAUCGGAUGUGCCCAGAUGGGAUUAUCUAGUAGGUGGGGUAACGGCUCACCUAGGCGACGAUCCCUAGCGGGUCUGAGAGGAUGACCAGCCACACUGGGACUGAGACACGGUCCAGAGUCCUACGGGAGCCAGCAGUGGGGAAUAUUGCACAAUGGACGCAAGCCUGAUGCAGCCAUGCCGCGUGUAUGAAGAAGGCCUUCGGGUGGUAAAGUACGUUCAGCGGGGAGGCGUUACCCGCAGAGGAAGCACCGGCUAACUCCGUGCCAGCAGCCGCGGUAAUAC
rnacentral:rRNA from 1 species